UCCCUGCAUCUCUGCACUCUGUUCCCGAUUCCACUUGAAAACCUUCAUCCAGGCAAUCAGGCCACACGCUUUGACAACUCUGAUUACUUAUCAUGGAGAACAAGAAGCCAGGAAGAGUAGAGGAGCCCCUUCUCGUGGCGGCGCGGCCCGAGAACGCGGCCGCGGCGGAGGCCAAGCGGCUGCUGCGGCUGGCGGGGCCCCUGGUGGCCAGCUGCAUCCUGCAGAGCGCCGUCCAGCUGGUGUCCGUCAUGUUCGUCGGCCACCUCGGCGAGCUGCCCCUCGCCGGCGCCUCCCUGGCCAGCUCCCUCGCCAACGUCACCGGCUUCAGCCUGCUGUUCGGCAUGGCGAGCGCGCUGGACACGCUGUGCGGGCAGGCUUUCGGGGCGGGGCGGCACGGCACGGCCUCCUCGGCGUGCACAAGCAGCGCGCCACGGUGGUGCUCGCGCUCGCCUGCGUCCCGGUCGCCGCCGUCUGGGCCAACGCCGGACGGAUCCUCGUCCUCGCCGGCCAGGACCGGGACAUCGCCGAGGAGGCCGGCGCCUACGCGCGGUGGCUCAUCCCGUGCCUCGUCCCCUACGUCCCGCUCGUGUGCCACAUCCGGUUCCUGCAGGCGCAGAGCCUCGUCGUGCCGGUGAUGGCCAGCUCCGGCGCCGCCGCGCUGGGCCACGUCGCGGUGUGCUGGGCGCUGGUGUUCAAGGCCGGCAUGGGGAGCAGAGGCGCCGCGCUGAGCAACGCCAUCUCCUACGGCGUCAACCUGGCCCUGCUCACUCUCUACGUCAGGCUGUCGGGCGCGUGCGCGAGGACAUGGACGGGAUUCUCCACCGAGGCUUUCAAAGAGCUGCGCCGGUUCACUCAGCUCGCCAUCCCAUCGGCGAUGAUGGUCUGCUUGGAGUGGUGGUCAUUUGAACUACUCGUGUUGCUCUCUGGCCUCCUGCCCAAUCCUACGCUUGAAACUUCAGUAUUGUCGAUAUGUCUCAACACUGGCUCGUUGCUGUUUAUGAUACCAUUUGGUCUCUCUACAGCCAUAAGCACACGAGUUUCGAAUGAACUUGGCGCCGAUCAGCCCCAGGCAGCGAAGCUGGCAACUCGAGUGGUGAUGUGUAUUGCCAUGUCUGCCGGCUUGGUUCUAGCCUCUACCAUGAUUCUGCUACGCAAUUUCUGGGGCUAUCUGUACAGCAAUGAACCUGAAGUCAUCACAUACAUUGCAAAAAUGAUACCUGUUCUCGCGAUAUCAUUCUUCACGGAUGGGCUUCACAGUUCUCUAUCCGGAGUACUGACUGGAUGCGGUGAGCAGAAGGUCGGCGCUCGUGUUAAUCUCGGUGCAUUCUACUUGGCCGGCGUUCCCAUGGCCGUUUUGCUUGCAUUUGUUCUCCAUCUUAACGGAAUGGGUCUUUGGCUUGGUAUUGUCUGUGGCAGCCUCACCAAGCUUGUGUUGCUCAUGUGGAUCACACUGCGGAUAAACUGGGAGAAAGAGGCAAUGAAGGCAAAAGAAACGGUAUUCAGUUCAUCUCUUCCCAUAGCAUGAUGGUGUUAUGUGUAACUGGAAAAGUAACACUGCAACAGCUGCACACAAUCAUACCACUGCGCUCAAGGAAAUUGACAGACAUUUGGGAUUAUUUUGUCUAAGUUAGCAUAUAAUCAUUUUUCUUCAAUAUCCUCCCCACCAGGAUAUGAUUUGUACUGCCUUUGUUUAUCAAAGAGCUUUCAUUCAUUACACUAUAACCUAUAAAUAGAUAUUAAAUUUGAUGCCUUUAUUUA